GACGAACGCUGGCGGCGUGCUUAACACAUGCAAGUCGAACGGAAAGGCCCUGCCUUUGUGGGGUGCUCGAGUGGCGAACGGGUGAGUAACACGUGAGUAACCUGCCCUUGACUUUGGGAUAACUUCAGGAAACUGGGGCUAAUACCGGAUAGGAGCUCCUGCUGCAUGGUGGGGGUUGGAAAGGUUCGGUGGUUGGGGAUGGACUCGCGGCUUAUCAGCUUGUUGGUGGGGUAGUGGCUUACCAAGGCUUUGACGGGUAGCCGGCCUGAGAGGGUGACCGGCCACAUUGUGACUGAGAUACGGCCCAGACUCCUACGGGAGGCAGGAGUGGGGGAUAUUGCACAAUGGGCGGAAGCCUGAUGCAGCAACGCCGCGUGCGGGAUGACGGCCUUCGGGUUGUAAACCGCUUUCGCCUGUGACGAAGCGUGAGUGACGGUAAUGGGUAAAGAAGCACCGGCUAACUACGUG
rnacentral:rRNA from 1 species